GACAGGAAGACACAGUAAACAUCUGGAGUCAACGAGCAGGUGGGGUUAGUAGGGGUAGGGGUAGUAGAGUUAGUAGAGGUAGGGGUAGUAGAGGUAGGAGUAGUAGGGGUAGUAGAGGUAGGGGUAGUAGAGCUAGUAGUGGUAGGGGUAGUAGAGGUAGGGGUAGUAGAGGUAGCAGUAGUAGGGGUAGUAGAGCUAGUAGAGGUAGGGGUAGUAGAGGUAGCAGUAGUAGGGGUAGUAGAGGUAGGGGUAGUAGAGCUAGUAGAGGUAGGGGUAGUAGAGGUAGCAGUAGUAGGGGUAGUAGAGCUAGUAGAGGUAGGGGCGGCAUAGCUCAGUGGGUAGAGUGGCCGUCUUGUAACUGGAAGUUUGCCGGUUCGAUCCUCAGCCUGCAGAGCUCAUGUCGAGGUGUCCCUGAGCAAGACACCGAACCCCUAACUGCUCCUGAUGGGUUGUGGUUAGCGCCUUGCAUGGCAGCUUCUGCCAUCAGUGUGUGAAUGUGUGUGUGAAUGGGUAAAUGUGAUGUAUCAUGUAUGUAUAAAUACAAACAUUUACCAUUUUACCAUUUAGUAGAGUUGGUAGGGGUAGUAGGAGUAGUAGAGGUAGCAGUAGUAGGGGUAGUAGAGGUAG